AACGAACGCUGGCGGCAGGCUUAACACAUGCAAGUCGAGCGCCUCGCAAGGGGAGCGGCAGACGGGUGAGUAACGCGUGGGAACAUGCCCAAAGGUACGGAACAACUCCGGGAACCUGGAGCAAAUACCGAAUGUGACCGCAAGGGGAAAGAUUUAUCGCCUUUGGAUUGGCCCGCGUUGGAUUAGCUAGUUGGUGGGGUAAAGGCCUACCAAGGCGACGAUCCAUAGCGGGUCUGAGAGGAUGAUCAGCCACACUGGGACUGAGACACGGCCCAGACUCCUACGGGAGGCAGCAGUGGGGAAUCUUAGACAAUGGGCGCAAGCCUGAUCUAGCCAUGCCGCGUGAGCGAUGAAGGCCUUAGGGUUGUAAAGCUCUUUCAGUGGGGAAGAUAAUGACUGUACCCACAGAAGAAGCCCCGGCUAACUCCGUGCCAGCAGCCGCGGUAACAC
rnacentral:rRNA from 1 species